AAGGAGGGCGGGGAUUGGUGGACCUCAGCGAGACCGAGCCCGCCCUGCCCCGCUCCAUGCGGGCCUUCCUGGAGAGCGGCGAGCUGUUGGCUGCCCGUAGGGAGACUGCUCAGGAGACUACAGGAACGUUCUGCUGAAGCUCUGUGGCAGUGAGGAUUGAAGGAUUCCUGUGUACGUCCCGCGUUAUGGGAAGGAGGGAUCAUAAAGGAUUUCUCUCAGGUGUUUGUAACUGUUGGUGAAUAACGCUCUGAAGGCAUCACAGACUGCCUGCUUGUCUCUGCAGUGCUCGGGGCUUUUCUGAGCUGCAGGCUCGCUGUCGCCCUGUGGCAUAGCCUUGCAUCUGGUGACGGACUGAAGCUGGAGAAUCCUGGCAGCAGAGGACGCUCCUGCCCCCACAGAAGGGCUCACAGCUCCACCGCAGCUCCACCGACCUCAGUGCUGGUGAGGAGGCUGAGAUGCCUCCAAGUGAUGAAUGCAGUGCACCCAACCUUACACCUCGUGUGGUUCACUGUGCGAGGCGACCAGGAAGAAAGGUGGGCACAGGAUAUUUUACAGGUUCUGACUCAGGUUCAGAGAUUUUAAGUUUACCGUCUGGAAUUAAAGCCUUCUUCAACUGCCUGUUUCUGCCACCUGAUCCGCCAUCUUAUCUCCAGUUUCCUGUACAGUGCUACCUUUCUGGUGUCCUUUACAGAGUAUAAUAGCCAUGCUCUUUGGUAGAUGUACAUCAUACUGAAUGUUUUCCUUGUGUGUGAGCAAUCCUUGCUCUUUCCAGAGGGCACUAUGAGCGUGUUCCACCCAAAAGCAUGUUUAGCAUCUGACCAUGUAUUUAAGGCUCUUGUCAAGGCAGUUAUUGCAGCCUUCUGAGCCAAGUCCCACAGGCAAUGGUUGUUCGAUUACCUGGUCAGUAGCAGUUACUGCAUAUCCUGCCUUACGGUUGCCUCGUCUCACAACACUGCUUCUGUCGGAUGAACCCAGGAAUCCUCAGCACUGUCCAAUGGUUCCUCCUGUAGGUCUGGCCGACUGGCACAGUCAGUCUCCAAGCAGUCGCACGCUGCCGGUUUGGAGGUAGUUCUGUGUUGGUGUUAGAAUCAUGGAAUGGCCUGGGUUGAGAAGGACCUCAAAGAUCGUCCAGUUCCAACCCCCUGCUAUGUGCAGGGUCACCAACUGACGGACCAGGCUGCCCAGAGCCUUGUCUUGAAUAAGAUUGUUUUUAGGCGAACAAAAACUUUGGAUCACCUUUCAAAUACAGAGAAAAAAAUAAUGCUGUAUUAUUUUUUUGUUUUAUUUUCCUGUUGUUAUUAUCAGGUAAAGAGACAGACAUAUCACAUCUCAAAAUGGCUUUACUUCAGUGGCCUUAAAUGGUCCCUCUGUGAUCAUUAUUUUCUUAUUGAAUCGCUGUCAGACACAGCUGGUGGAUUUUUGUAUGUGCAGUUUGGAGUUCCUGGCUAAAAUGAACCACAUGAAUACAGAUUACGGAUAUUCUUAUCUCAGCACACUUUUGAGAUGGAGCAUUCAAAUUACAAGACCUUCAGUCUGCUGUUUUAAUCUGACCCAGAAGGAAAACUUCACUACAGUUUCGUUUCCUUGAUUCCCGUGCAAUUUUAUUUUGGAACUGAAGCUCAAUCGAAUUUAAACAACUUUUUUGAAAGUCUGUAAUGAAAGUUGCAUUUUUGCUUACACGUAGCCACUUUGACCCACGGUGAAUGAAAGUCAUAAAGCAGGGUAUAAAGGGAGUUUCUAAAUUGCCUGUUGUUGAGUCCAUUGAAGGCAACAGGAGAGUCCAGAAUGUGACCUUUGAGAGCAAAUUUGCCUCUGCUUCUUACUGAAUUUUGUGUUGCGUUUUUCUGUAUAUAUAUUUCUUUUGACUCAGAAAUACAAAUUAUAAUGAAGGUGAGGCACUUCACAAUACAUUUGGCUUCAGCAUUGCUGAAUAUACAUUUGUAUAUGUAUAUAUAUUAUAUAUAUGUAUGUAUAUAUAUGUAUAUAUAUAUUGUACAGCAAACAUUUCAGAAUCUGCAGAACGUUGCUAAUAACUGCAGUGGAACAGGGAGGAAUAGUGAAAACAGAUUUCUGCUUUGAAUGCUUUCAAAUUUAAUAAUUAAUGCAUUUUAUUUUUACUUGUAUAGGAUUAUCAUGAAUUCUAGAUAGGUAGUUACAUUUGAAAAUGCUAAGUGGGAUAGCAAAACUGGAUCAUAAACACAGGAAACAGAUUCUGCAUUCAUUUUCUUGCAUUUCUGUCCUGCUGGCAUGCUCUUUGUACUUUCUACCAUUUCAGAAUCACAGGAGCUAAAAUAGUCUGAAAAAGAAGAGUCCAAAUUCUUGCCUUUGGAAGGCCCAGCUCGUUACCCAACUCCUGAGCAAAGAAAAAGAAGAAUAAAGGCUUCAGUCACCACACAUACUCACACUGGGAGGUGGCAGUGGGAGGGAGGUGGGAGGUGAAAGGAGGGAUGGAGAAGAGGACGGAUGGACAACGUGGAAGUAGAGAGGGAUGGAUAGGGGGAGGGAUGGAGAACGAGGAAGGAGGGAGGGACACGCACCGGGCCACGUGCUUGGCUCACAAAGGUGACACCAUCCUCCCUGUCACAGACUUCAGCCUCAGCGUGACUGUCAGCCCUGUGGACACGCUGGCUGUCACUGUGCCCACCGUCUGCCACAACAUCACCUGCAGCCUCUGUGGAACUUCAAUGGCCGUGUCCACACCGACCGCCUCAUCCAGAGCAGCACUGCCACGGGUCACCGCCUCAGUCCUGGUCCCAGGUGUCCCCUGUGCCAGCAAUCCCCCAGCAGCGAGUGAGUGGGCAGUGGACACAACCUGGGCUUCUCGCCAGGCCCUGCACGGGUGGUGGCAGCGUUCCAGGGGCACCGCCUCCGGCCCCACCCAUCCCUCUCCAAAAACGAGCUGAUGCUGUUCUCCUGGUUUGAGCGGCUGUGUACGGACUGUGCGACUGCCCGAGGGGAACCUUCCAACCUACUGCCUGAACUGAACUGAACUGAACUUCGGUGUCACGAGCGCGGCUGCAGAUAUGCAGUAACCGUACUGAAACUGCAACUAUCUGAAGACCCACAUGCAGAACAAACCGUACAGUGCACAGAAAUCACUGCAGUGAUGAAGGAACUCGGCAACGGGGCCGCUGUUGUGUUUUGGUAACAGUGAGGAGGCACCAGCAACGAGCUGUGGAUUGGCUGCCCCCCCUGCGCUGCACUGUGCAUUCACGCGCUGGCCACGCAUAGAGUGCGUGAUCCGGCUCAGGGCAUACAGACAUGUCAGGAGGGCAGCAGGGUGAGGUAACUCAGGCAGAGGACACCGCUGCCUCCAUGGGGAUGCCCGCAAGGCCCUGAGCCAACCAGUCCCUCCCUUUACAGCCAAUCCGAGCUGUGCUGGCUGAUGGUCCUUUUGGGACCUCUUGGCGGAUCAGUAGCUGUGCACAGCAGUGCUUAAACGCUCGCUUUGGCCGAC
ensembl:lncRNA